CUCACACGGCUUUGUUUACGUUACUGGGGGGUACCUACUCAACGAGCAUUCCUCAAAAUGUCAAAAAUAGAGUUGCUGAGAUUGUUUCUCAACGAACGAUUGACAGCUGCUGCUGAUGAGAUAUUUGGGACAAUUGAAAAGACGAUUGUAGAGUACCAGGAAGAAGUGUCCCGCACGAAAGAUGAGAACAACCGUCUACGGAGGAUGCUAAGGUUACAAAAAACAGACUCCCAGCCGCUGACUGUCUCUGACGAGGAUCUUCCCCCUGAGCAGCAGCACUGUGAGCAGGAGUGGAGCCCAAGUCUGGAACAAGAUGGUCCAGAGGCCACACAGAUUAAAAAGGAGCAGGAGGAACUCCGGACCAGUCGGAGGGAAGAGCAACUUCAAUGGCUAGAGUCUGGUACCAAAGACUUCACAUUCAGUCCUGCCUGUUUGAAAAGUAACUAUGAUCCGAUUCAGAACCCAACUCAUUCAUCACAUCUUCACCAAGUACAAAGUGAAGAAAGCAGAGAGAACCCAACUCAUUCAUCACCUCUUGACCAAAUACAAAGUGAGACAAACAGUGAGAACCCAAGUCAGUCCUUAUACCUUCACCAAAUAGAAAGUGAGGAAGAUGGAGAGAACCCGGCAGCUCAGUCCUCAUAUCUUUACCAAAUACAAAGUCAGGAAAACCGAGAGAAACCGUGGCAAUGCCGUGUUUGUGACAAAUGUUUCAACAAUAUUCAUCAUCUGAAAGCGCAUGUGAGGAGUCACACAGGGGAGAGACCGUAUAAGUGUCCUAUAUGUAGAAAAUGCUUUAUGACAACAAGCGCAUUGAAUAGACAUCAGACAAUUCACACUGAUGGAAAGCCGUUUAGGUGUAAUUAUUGCGGCAAAUCCUUCAAAUGGAUGAACUCCCUUGGAAGGCACAUAAGGAUUACCCACGAGAGGGAGAAUAUAUGACAUUUCCUGGUGUGGGGAAAGGGCAAUAGUUGUUCUGAAAAAGUUACAUCCGGAUGCUUUUUAUAUACUAUUGCCAUAUAAUAUUAUAAUAUGCCAUAUGCUAUUGCCAUAUAAUUACACUAUAACAAAAGUGAACACUAUGUUAUAGUUAAUUAUAUGAUAUCUAUGGCUAUUGUGUGUGUGUGUGUGUGUGUGUAUGUGUGUGUGUUUUUACAUGUUUGUAACCACUUUCCCAGGGACUACAGAUGGAAAUAUACAUAAGUCUUGAUCAAUGUGCAUUAUCUUUGUCAAAUAAAUCAAAUAAGGUGUAUCUUACACCUAUCUGUGCAUAAAUAUUGUUUUUGUCUUGUUCAUAUGGUGUAAUGUCACAUCUGUUUUGAUUUGUGUUUUGUCCUUUUCCUUCAGUGAUCACAAGAGCCAAAACAUUUUCCAUAUGCCUACAUUACUGUCAUUUUUUUUCUUUACCUCAGUGAUCUUUCUGUGCACAAUUGGAGGCAAAAAAUAAAAAAAUGUAACACACGAAA